rnacentral:rRNA from 1 species
GGAGGGCAAGUCUGGUGCCAGCAGCCGCGGUAAUUCCAGCUCCAAUAGCGUAUAUUAAAGUUGCUGCAGUUAAAAAGCUCGUAGUUGGAUCUCAGUUACAGGCAGGUGGUUCACUUUACAGUGCUACUACUUGAACUGAACCUAUUGCUGGAUCUCAUGGGUGCCCUUCACUGGGUGCCCAUUGGGAACAGACGUUUUACUUUGAGAAAAUUAGAGUGCUCAAAGCAGGCGAAUGCCUGAAUAGUUGUGCAUGGAAUAAUGAAAUAUGGCCUCGGUGUUGUUUUGUUGGUUCACGAUGCUCGAGGUAAUGGUUGAAAGGGACUGACGGGGGCAUUCGUAUUGCGACGUUAGAGGUGAAAUUCUUAGAUCGUCGCAAGACGGACUACUGCGAAAGCAUUUGCCAAGAAUGUCUUCAUUAAUCAAGAACGAAAGUCAGAGGUUCGAAGGCGAUCAGAUACCGCCCUAGUUCUGACCUUAAACGAUGCUAACUGGCGAUCCACGAGGGGUAUUUAAAUGACCUCCUGGGCAGCUUCUGGGAAACCAAAGUUUUUGGGUUCCGGGGGAAGUAUGGUUGCAAAGCUGGAACUUAAAGGAAUUGACGGAAGGGCACCACCAGGAGUGGAGCCUGUGGCUUAAUUUGACUCAACACGGG